AGCAGCCGCCGCGGUAAUACGUAGGUGGCAAGCGUUAUCCGGAAUUAUUGGGCGUAAAGCGCGCGUAGGCGGUUUCUUAAGUCUGAUGUGAAAGCCCACGGCUCAACCGUGGAGGGUCAUUGGAAACUGGGAAACUUGAGUGCAGAAGAGGAAAGUGGAAUUCCAUGUGUAGCGGUGAAAUGCGCAGAGAUAUGGAGGAACACCAGUGGCGAAGGCGACUUUCUGGUCUGUAACUGACGCUGAUGUGCGAAAGCGUGGGGAUCAAACAGGAUUAGAUACCCCCGUAGUCCCUGUCUCUUAUAC
rnacentral:rRNA from 1 species